UUGCAAAACACCAAAUCUAUAUUUACACUUCCACAUAUAAUAACAUAACUUUAAGCUGAAAUAUAUCAUAAAUAAAACAAGUAAUGUCUACUGUUUGACAACUUAAGUAUCAACAAUUAAAAUAAAUCAAACUGGAAUGAAAUAAAUACAUAAACAAAAUCCAACGAAUUGUACCUCUAUUAUAUGUACUGUUGUCUCAAAGAAAAAAAAAAAACAUAUAAAACCAGUAGUAUACCAAUAGUUAAUACUGAUGGACACAAAAACAUAUUUUGAAGUACAAAGGGCUGUAGGAAAAUAAUUGGUAUUUUCAUACAUUCAGAAAUGUGGUUAAAAAGAGAAACCUGAAAGCCCAAAAAAUUCCAGCAUAACACAAAUUGACUUGUUUUCAAAUAGAUUUGGUGAUUCUUUUUUUUAAAUACAGGUUUAAAUUCCAGCCCUCUAUUAUCACAUACCCCCUUUUAAGAUUUAUGGUUCUAGUUCAAGCUCUCUGUAACACUCAUUGGAUUAGGCAAAGAUUGAGUCAAUCAUCUUGCAAAUGUGUUAAUCUUCAAAAAUAGGCUAUAAAAGUGCAAAACUAUGAAAACAAAAAUCUAGAUUAUGUACAUAUGGCUCAGCUUGUGAACAGGAAAAAAGGUCAAUAGUGUACACUUUCCUGAUACAAAGCACUUCAUUGCAAUGCCAGCAGACUGAUCUCAAAUUACUUCUCCCUUGUAACACAGGAGCUAAGACUUCUAUCAAGGAGGACAUCUUACGUUGCAUAAUUUAAAAAGAAAAAAAAAUCUUCUAGGACUUUACCCUUGCUCUAUGGAGAACAGCGAGGCCAGAAAAAUGAACAGUGCAAAUUUAUUUUUGAAAAAGUUUCUUAAUAAAAUAUUUUGUGGUCACUACGCCCAUGUACUAAUAAACUCAGCCAUGGACAGCACAUUAAAGAACAAAAGUUUAAAAUAUCUAGGAAGCCAGCUGGUGGCCAUCUUCUCUAAAACCCAAAUUGCAUGUGCACUGAGAAAAAUGCUACUGCUUCACAACAACCAAAAAUGGGAAGAUAACUGAGGUCUAGAAACAGAUUUCCUCUUUCUAGACUCCCAGGAGGCUCGGCCAGCAGUUCCUUAUUCAGAAUCAAUGUGUCUAUAAUCAACUCUAGUAUGUCCACAGUUCACCCAAAUGCCAGAUACAUUAAGACUACCAAAUACAAACCUAAAAUGUUUCCCCAAAAAUUUCCCUUAAAACUGUUCCCCAAUAUCUGCAAUUCACAGGUAUAAUUUACCAUUUUUGUUUUUAUAUACUAAUUUAGGCCCCCCCCAAUGAAUCUUCCAACAAAAGUGAUUAAUUUGAUAGAAACAAAUAUAAAUAACUGCACAUACAGUUUCUUAUGUUUACACAAUGUGUGGCUGUUCUACAGGAAACGCUUCUCUGUAGACACACACUCUUAAAAACCCUACGAGCCAUCCCAAGCCCCUCAGUCAAGGAUUCUGGAGGUUCCAGGACAAUCGGAGAGGCGAGGAAGGAGGCGUCUUCCCCAGCUGAGAUGCUGAAAGUUGCAAUAAAAUGCUGCCAACUUCCAAAUGGCUGACUCAAUAUCUGCAGCACGUAUCACAUAGAGGGUCAAUACUUCCAUUAACAAUUUUAAGACAACAAUAGAUUUCGGAGGAUUCAACAUAAUACAAAAUCAUUGGCAGUUUAAAAAAAAAAAAAACAUACAUUUUAAAUGAAAGAGCACAAUAGCAGAAACUGCUCCAAGUGAUGAGCUGUAUUAGAGAAAAGGAAUACACACAGUAUUUGAACAAGCAGGUUUACAACUUAAGAUAUUUACAGAUUUUUACCUGAGGUGCAAGCAUUAUAUACUUUUCCCCCAUCCCACCCCACCCCACCCAAAUGAUUUCUUUUCAGCAGCGCUCAAGUAUGCAAAAAUUCCACUUCUUAUUUGGUCGAUUCUAAAAAAAAUAUUAUUGAGGGACAAAAUAGAGAUUUCCAGUCCCCAU
ensembl:lncRNA